ensembl:lncRNA
GCGUGUCCUCUGUGACUGUAGUUCCAGUGAAGGAGGCGUAGCCUAUGUACAUAUCAGUUCCAGUGAAGGAGGUCUGGCCUUUGUACAUGUCAAUCCCAGUGAAGGAGGCGUGUCCUCUGUGACUGCAGUUCCAGUGAAGGAGGUGUGGCCUUUGUACAUGUCAAUCCCAGUGAAGGAGGCGUGUCCUCUGUGCCUGCAGUUCCAGUGAAGGAGGUCUGGCCUAUGUACAUAUCAGUCCCAGUGAAGGAGGUGUGUCCUCUGUGACUGCAGUUCCAGUGAAGGAGGCGUAGCCUAUGUACAUAUCAGUCCCAGUGAAGGAGGCGUGUCCUCUGUGACUGCAGUUCCAGUGAAGGAGGCGUAGCCUAUGUACAUAUCAGUCCCAGUGAAGGAGGUGUGUCCUCUGUGACUGCAGUUCCAGUGAAGGAGGUGUGGCCUUUGUACAUGUCAAUCCCAGUGAAGGAGGCGUGUCCUCUGUGCCUGCAGUUCCAGUGAAGGAGGUGUGUCCUAUGCAAAUGUAUUUUCCAGAA